AACGUAGGAGCCAAACGUUAUCCGGAGUUACUGGGCGUAAAGGGCGUGUAGGCGGUUUGUUAAGUCUGGCGUGAAAGCUCUCGGCUAAACCGGGAGAGGUCGUUGGAUACUGGCAAACUAGAGGAUGGUAGAGGCGUGUGGAAUUCCGGGUGUAGUGGUGAAAUGCGUAGAGAUCCGGAGGAACACCAGUGGCGAAGGCGACACGCUGGGCCAUACCUGACGCUAAAGCGCGACAGCAUGGGGAGCAAACGGG
rnacentral:rRNA from 1 species